AUUGAACGCUGGCGGCAUGCCUUACACAUGCAAGUCGAACGGUAACGCGGGGCAACCUGGCGACGAGUGGCGAACGGGUGAGUAAUGCAUCGGAACGUGCCCAGCAGUGGGGGAUAGCCCGGCGAAAGCCGGAUUAAUACCGCAUACGACCUACGGGUGAAAGGGGGGGAUCGCAAGACCUCUCGCUAUUGGAGCGGCCGAUGUCAGAUUAGGGAGUUGGUGGGGUAAAGGCCUACCAAGCCCACGAUCUGUAGCUGGUCUGAGAGGACGACCAGCCACACUGGGGAUGAGACACGGCCCAGACUCCUACGGGAGGCAGAAGUGGGGAAUUUUGGACAAUGGGCGCAAGCCUGAUCCAGCCAUGCCGCGUGCGGGAAGAAGGCCUUCGGGUUGUAAACCGCUUUUGUCGGGGAAGAAAUCUUCUGGGCUAAUACCUCGGGAGGAUGACGGUACCCGAAGAAUAAGCACCGGCUAACUACGUGCCAGCCGCCGCCGUAA
rnacentral:rRNA from 1 species